GACCUCGCCGAGGUCGCCCUCUUGCAGUUGCCUAGCCCGGAGAAGGUCGUCUUUGUCUCCAUAGUCGCCGUCAUCAUGUCCUUCACCUAAUCCUUCAUCGUGCUCUUCCCGAGUGCCUUAACCUGCGCGUGAGGAGAGACCGGCGGUGGCGUGUGUCGGCCAGCGGCGGAGCGAAGGAGCCGCAGGCGGUGACCUGUGUGUAAGGAGAGAUCAAUGGGCGGCAGGUGCGGGGUUGACGCGGAUGUGGAUAAAGAAGCAAGGGAGCGGUGACGAUGGAGGAGGAGGUAGGAGCGUGUGGCAUAGGAGUGUCUAGCAGGCGUCGGUCGCGGGUUUAGAAUUUCGUCCGGCCCCUCAAAUUGGUAAUGUACCUUUGUCUUGAUUUAUUAGUCCUCUUUAUAUUAUCAUAUUUUUACUAUGAUUCUAGCCAAUAAAAUAUAAAUUAUUUUGUCAGAAAAAAUAAUAAUAUUGUCAGUGUUGAACGAUAUAAUUUUCCGUGAGGAAGAGGAUGUCAUAAUUUAAAAAAUGAGGCAUUAUUGCCUCAGGUUCUACUGUCAGUAGUAGUUAAAGCACUGUGCAUGAACGCACGCUAAUAAUGUCGGCCUUAGGCUGGCCAUAGUGAGAGUAACUCAGGUAGUAUCAUGUUCUUGGAACUAGCAAACAUGCUGAUGUGGCAGACAAUUAAAGAAGAGAGGAGGUUAUAGUAACAUAGGCAGAUACCAUAACGUUCAUGGAGUGCAGGGUGGAUGCGACGGUGGUGGUGGCGGCGAGGAGGCAGAGGCAUUCGUCGUUGACGGGGCAGGCGGUGAGCUGGCCGCGGCGACUUGAAUAUCGCACCGCGAACCUCGCGCCGGCUGGCUGGGUGCUCCCCGCGCCGGCACCUGCUCUGGGAAGAGCGGGAGUGAUGGUGGGGAAGUGGCCGCCGCGUCCCCGGGUGCCCGCCGCCCUCCCCGCGCACAUGGUCGACAUCAGCCCCCCAGCGCUGAAGGAGUAGGAGGGGAUGUGGAGGUCCUCAAAAUCCAUCGACUUGGCUUGCGUUGGGCACAAAGUCAAAGAAUAAGGGUGGUGGCAAGAAAAAGAAAGGUUUGCUUGGUUGCUGCUCUGUUUGCCUGUUCUUGAUACAUGAGUUCUUUUCCUGAUAGCUAGACUGGUUUACAUCUGUCUCAAGUUCCUUGAACUCACAGAGCUUCUUUUAUCUUUUAAUAGGCAAGAAAGGAGAUGCAGCAGAGCCCGUAUGGAGGUUUCUCAGGACGCACCAAGCCAGGAAUAAUUCGUUUUUUUCUUCUUCUUUGAAUUGCUUUUGUUACGUUUGUACCUGCUCCUUUGCUGCAUCUGAUUGUGUUAUAUUACAUUCAGCUGCGGGAAUUUGAGUACCUUCUUUUGAGUGUCUAAUGAAAAUGAUCGAUCCUGCCACACAUCACGUGGAACACAAGCCUGAUAAUUAUGUAU
rnacentral:lncRNA from 1 species